AGGCUCACGGCUUCCAGGGCUUUGUGACAGCGUUGGCCAGCAUCUGCAGCAGUGCAGCCAUCGCAUGGGGGCGCUAUCACCACUACUGCACCCGUAGCCAGCUGGCCUGGAACUCAGCCAUCUCUCUGGUGCUCUUCGUGUGGCUGUCUUCUGCCUUCUGGGCAGCUCUGCCCCUUCUGGGUUGGGGUCACUAUGACUAUGAGCCACUGGGGACAUGCUGCACCCUGGACUACUCCAAGGGGGACAGAAACUUCACCAGCUUCCUCUUCACCAUGUCCUUCUUCAACUUUGCCAUACCCCUCUUCAUCACGAUCACGUCCUACAGUCUCAUGGAGCAGAAACUGGGGAAGAGUGGCCAUCUCCAGGGACACCAGGGAAUAUGAACAAUGUGACAGACAGCAACCAGGGGUUUUCUGCGUUUUCAGUGAUCAAGAGAAAAUCCAGCUUGUGCACAGCAUAGGAUGUUAGAACUGGAAACCACCCUCCCUUUGCUCAGAUCGCCAAGGCCUGGGGAGCAAGGAUCAGGACUGCUCAGAUUCACCCAGACCCCGUAACUCUGGGGACCAGGGCUCCCUACUGGACACAUCCGUGCUGUUCCACUUAACUCUUGCCAAGGAUGUGAGGUUUGGCACAAAGUUACAGGCUUUUUAAAUGCUACUUUUAAACCGC
rnacentral:sRNA from 1 species